UUGAAGUUAUUGUUUUUAUUCUCAGAUGAACGGUGUUUAAACAAGAGUUUUUGGUUAUGGGCCAUCGGCCGGAGCGGUUUCAUGCCGCGGCCUGCCGAGGCAACAGUGGUAAGGUAGACAAAGGGUUGGAGGUCGGGCGCCGAAGCACCCAGUCUCAGUAAUGAUCCUUCCGCAGGUUCACCUACGGAAA
rnacentral:misc_RNA from 1 species